UACGGGGGGGGCAAGCGUUGUUCGGAAUUACUGGGCGUAAAGCGCACGUAGGCGGCUUAGCAAGUCGGAAGUGAAAUCCCUCGGCUCAACCAAGGAAGUGCUUUCGAAACUGCUGAGCUUGAGUACUAAAGAGGAUCGCGGAAUUCCCGGUGUAGAGGUGAAAUUCGUAGAUAUCGGGAGGAACACCAGUGGCGAAGGCGGCGAUCUGGGUAGAUACUGACGCUGAGGUGCGAAAGCGUGGGGAGCAAACAGG
rnacentral:rRNA from 1 species